UUUUUUUUUUUUUUCCCUUAUAAUCCCUGCUUAAUAAAUAACCUGUCACAAUCACCAUAAAUAAAAAGCAAAAAAAAAAAAAAAAAAAAAAACAUUACACGUAUUACAUGUAUUAAAUGCAUUACAUGUAUAUAUAGAGAGGUAGAAAAGGAGAAAGUGAAAAAAUGCUUUAAACGAAUGACAAAAUGAGCACGUAUGUAGGUAAAUCGUCAUCCAGACUAUCUUCAAAAAAAAACUUUCCAUAUAACAAGGAAUUUUCAACUUUAACACAAAUAUCCAAGAACAGAGAUGAAAUAAUUAAAAAUAAAGCUUAUUGUCCUAUUGAGUUAAAAAAUGUCUAUAAGUUAUUAGAAGAUAGUGACCAGUUGUUGAAGAGCAAAAACUUGAGUAUGGCGGAACUACUCGAGCACAACAAUAAAAUCAAGGAAUUUAUUCAGAUGAGUGAAGGUUACAAAAUUAAUACAAGCAUUACAAAUAAGUCGGAGCAAAAAACAAAAUAUAACUCGAUUGAUCAGAGUAUGCACUAUUUAACAAAAUCUAUUGAGACAGCGAAAAAGGAUAAUCUAUUAUUAAAAAAGCAAGUAAAAAAAAUUACUGAUCCAUUAUUUUUAUUAACAUUAGAAGAAAAAUAUAAACAAGUUUGUUUAGAUAUAGAAAAUAGAAAAAAAGAAAUAAAAUAUUUAAAAGAUACUAUAAGACAAAAUGAGAGAUUAUUAGAUUCGAAUAAAAGAAAACCGAAUCCAAUAGCUUUAGAAAAAGAAUAUAGAAACUUAAUAGGACAACAAUCAACUUUGUGUUCUAGAUUGAUACAACUACAAAAUGGAAAUACGUUAUAUGAGGAAAAUAUAUCAAAAAUCGAUACCCAACUAACCGCAAUAAACAAAAAACUAAACGAACUUAAUUUGGAUAAAAAAGAAGACAAUCUUACAGGAUCAGAUAAAGAUAUGUCAAAAGAAAACUUGGAAAAAAAAAUUUAUUUACUCAAUACAAAAAGAGAUGAUUUAAAAAAAGAAAAUAAUAAUAUUAUUAAUAACAUGAAUAAUACAUUAACAAAAUUAAAAAAACAGAUUAAUCAACUCGAAGAAGAAAAAAUAAAACUUUUAGUUGAAGAAAAAAAUAACAUGGAUAAAGUCCAAAUUUUAAAAAGAACAUUAAAUCUUAAAUCGUUAAAAAAUAAAAAUGAAAAUAAAUAUUGUUAUGUAACAAAAAAAAAAAUUGCAGAAAAAAAAGAAUACAAUAAUAAUCAAGAAAACAUAGAGUUAGAUAAUAUAAAUAAAAAAAUAGAUAAAAAUAAUACUUUAUUUAAUCAAACAGGUAUAGAAAAUACUAAUUUUAUUGAAAAUUUAUUAGAACAAAAUUAUAAAACAGAACAAUCUCCAAUUAAUAAAAAUGUUAAUUUUGAAAAACGUAUGGAUGAGUAUGAAAAAGUGGAGGAAAAUAAACAUGAACAUACAAUCCUAAACGAAUUUAAAAAAAGUAAUAAUUACGAAAAAAUAGAAAAUAAUGAAAAUGAUGAAAAUGGUGAAAAUGAUGAAAAUAAUGAAAAUGAAAAAGAUGAUAUAUUUAUGCCUGAUUUCGAAGAUGAUAUGAUUUUAAAGCUUCAAAAAAAUUUGGAUGAUAAAUUAAAUAAAGAUAAAGAUGGAGACGAAGAACAGGAAGAGGCAGAAGUUGGAGAAGAGGAAGAAAUGGUAGAAGUGGGAGAAGUGGAAGAAGAGGCAGAAGUGGAAGAAGAGGCAGAAGUGGGAGAAGAGGAAGAAAUGGUAGAAGUGGGAGAAGUGGAAGAAGAGGCAGAAGUGGGAGAAGAAGCAGAAGUGGAAGAAGAGACAGAAGUGGGAGAAGAGAAAGAAGUGGGAGAAGAGGCAGAAGUGGGAGAAGAGGCAGAAGUGGGAGAAGAGAAAGAAGUGGAAGAAGAGGCAGAAGUGGGAGAAGAGACAGAAGAGGUAGAAGUUGGAGAAGAGAAAGAAGUGGGAGAAGAGGCAGAAGUGGGAGAAGAGACAGAAGAGGUAGAAGUUGGAGAAGAGGCAGAAGUUGGAGAAGAGGCAGAAGUUGGAGAAGAGGCAGAAGUGGGAGAAGAGGUAGAAGUGGGAGAAGAGAAAGAAGUGGGAGAAGAGAAAGAAAUGGGAGAAGAGGCAGAAGUGGGAGAAGAGAAAGAAAUGGGAGAAGAGGCAGAAGUGGGAGAAGAGGCAGAAGUGGGAGAAGAGAAAGAAGUGGGAGAUGUGGAAGAAGAGGCAGAAGUGAAAGAAGAGGCAGAAGUGGGAGAAGAGGCAGAAGUGGGAGAAGAGGCAGAAGAAGAAGAACUAGGAAAGGUAGAAAUGGAAGAAGAGACAGUAGAAGUAGAAGAAGAGACGGUAGAAGCAGAAGAAAUAGAAGAAGUACAUGAGGGAAUAGAAGCAGAAGCAGAAACAGGAGUAGAAGUAGAAAAUGGAGAGAUAAAUGUAGAAGCAGGGGAGGAAACAUGUGCUAACGUGGAAGUAGAAGGAGUAGAAGAAGUAGAAGAAGUAGAAGAAGUAGAAGAAGUAGAAGGAGUAGAAGAAGAAGAAAUAGAAGGAGUAGAUGAAGUAGAAGGAGUAGAAGAAGUAGAAGGAGUAGAAGAAGAAGUAGAAGAACAUGUAACAAUGGAGCACGAAGAAAUAGAAAAGUUAAAGGGGGAAGAAAUUAAAGACGUUAUGAAUGAGCAAACAAAAGACGAUGAAACAAAAGAUAUGGUGGACGUAGAAGAAGAAACAAAUGAAGAUAAAAAUACAAAUGAAGAAAAUUCAGAAGAUACAAUAAUUAAUGAAUAAAAAAUAUAAAAAAACAAAAUUUAAACAACUGUGGAAGUUCAUACUCAUAUUAUUAAAAUGUAAUAUUUAUUUAAUGAAUCAUGACAAAUAUAAAUAUAUAAAAAAAUAUGUAGUAAAAAAAAAAAAAAAAAAAAAAAAAAAAAAAAAAAAAAAAAAANNNNNNNNNNNNNNNNNNNNNNNNNNNNNNNNNNNNNNNNNNNNNNNNNNNNNNNNNNNNNNNNNNNNNNNNNNNNNNNNNNNNNNNNNNNNNNNNNNNNAAUAUAAUAUAAUAUAAUACAAAGUUAAUAGCAAUUGAUUUAUUAGAAAAAAAUGUUAUUGAAAAAUGUGUUGCAAAGAGUAUGUAUAUGUUUUUUUUUUUUUUUUUUUAAAACAAUCAAAUAUAUAUACAUAUUUAUACGCAUAUGCAAGUAUAUAAUACCAUUAAUAUAUAUUUAUAAUAAGAUCAUAAAAGCCUUUGCUAAAUUUUAUUAUGUAUAUGCAUAAAACAUGUAUAACUAUGUAUAAACAUAUUUUAUUUUAUUUUUUUAAAUAUUUAUCUUGCUCUUCUUUAAAAUUAUAUAAUUCUAACUAUUUAAGUGAUGAUACAACCUCAAAAUAUAUGUAUAUAUGUAUGAAUAUUAUAUUUUUUUUUUUUAACGCAAACUAUUUUAUCGAAGUAUCAGUGUCUAUUAGCACAAAUUUAAGGACUUACAUCCAUCCAUAAUACACAUAUAUAUAUAUAUAUAUAUAUAUUUAUACCUGUAUUUAUAUAUACUUAUACAUACCCAUUAAAUAAAUUUGGCAUGCCUUCUUAAAAAUAUUCA
rnacentral:lncRNA from 1 species